AUGGACGCAAGUCUGAUGGAGCAACGCCGCGUGAGUGAAGAAGGUUUUCGGAUCGUAAAGCUCUGUUGUUGGUGAAGAAGGAUAGAGGUAGUAACUGGCCUUUAUUUGACGGUAAUCAACCAGAAAGUCACGGCUAACUACGUGCCAGCAGCCGCGGCAAUACGUAGGUGGCAAGCGUUGUCCGGAUUUAUUGGGCGUAAAGCGAGCGCAGGCGGAAAAAUAAGUCUAAUGUGAAAGCCCUCGGCUUAACCGAGGAACUGCAUCGGAAACUGUUUUUCUUGAGUGCAGAAGAGGAGAGUGGAACUCCAUGUGUAGCGGUGGAAUGCGUAGAUAUAUGGAAGAACACCAGUGGCGAAGGCGGCUCUCUGGUCUGCAACUGACGCUGAGGCUCGAAAGCAUGGGUAGCGAACAGGAUUAGAUACCCUGGUAGUCCAUGCCGUAAACGAUGAGUGCUAAGUGUUGGGAGGUUUCCGCCUCUCAGUGCUGCAGCUAACGCAUUAAGCACUCCGCCUGGGGAGUACGACCGCAAGGUUGAAACUCAAAGGAAUUGACGGGGGCCCGCACAAGCGGUGGAGCAUGUGGUUUAAUUCGAAGCAACGCGAAGAACCUUACCAGGUCUUGACAUCUAGUGCCAUCUUCAGAGAUA
rnacentral:rRNA from 1 species